rnacentral:lncRNA from 1 species
CUUAAAAUAAAGCAAAUAAUUUAAGAUAAACAGGCCUAGAAGACUAAAAUCCCUAAUCGGCCUCCAACAAGACGGCCCAACUAAACCAAAUUUAAAAAAUCAAAACUAAUAAAAAUUUACUCUAGAAAAUUCCAGCCGAAAGAAGACAGCUGUAUCCCAAAAAAUAUUUUGGCUUUCAAAUGCUCCUGCACAGCUCAUAAUAGCAGAUUCCUUCAAAUCUCAUAAGAUCGUUAACCUUCUGCUACACAUUUCCAUCUGACCGUUUCAUUUCAUCAGUCUGGAGUCCGUGGUCUUCUCCUCUUUAGUAUUCGCCGAACAUGCUCAGGAACUCCUCCUUCCAGGUAAUGGCCUUCAUUUACUUUCAAUGCUUCCAUUGCAAUCACAUGAGCCAAAAAGUUUUCCGACUUUGGAAUAUGAUGGAAGUUUAGUUUUUGGUAGAAAUGCUUUAUCUCCUGAAUAUUUCUUAUUAUAGCUCCAAUAAUCGAAUUAUGUUUGUCUGUGUUCUAGCAUUUUUUUAUAACAGUUCUUGAAUCUCCAUUUAUGACGCAAUCAUGAAAACCCAAUAAAAUUCCUAACGUUACUACUUGUUCUCCUACAUGCGCUUCCGCCGCAAACGGUGAGGCAACAUUUUCAUGGAUGACCGAUUUCGAGACCAAAAUAUCCCCUUACGUGUUUCUAACUAGCAACCUCGAUGUGGAUCUGGAGAGUUGUUGAUUGAAAGCCCCAUCAAAAGAAAUGACUACCCUCGUUCGCCGAUCUUCAUGAGUAAAAACCCUUCCUGUAUCAAAGAUAAGUAGUUUCUCUUCUAAGCUUUGCAACUCUGAAAUAUAACUAUUUAUUUGUCGUGAGAUCUCUCUUCUUGUUCUAUCUUUACUCUCAUAAAGCAAUUGAUUCCUGUUUGACCAGAUAAGCCAAAGCCCGCAGCUAAAUAGUCUGCACUACUCUCUUGUUCCUUGAUUGAAAACCCGGGUAAACCACUCCCAAAUGCUCUGAAUAUUAUUAUUAAGCACCCAAGAGAAAUCUAGAUACUCCCAAACUUCCGUCGUUACAGGACACAUUUUGAAAACAUGAUUGCUAUCCUCCUCAGACUGUCGACAUCUGGGACACCAGACUUCAUUUGUAACUCACCUCAAUUUAAGAUUAGCAAGCAUAGGGAUAUAAUUCCAGGAAAUUUUCCAGAUUGUAAUGUUAAUUUUCAAAGGGAUGUGUAAAUCCCAUAGUUUUCUGUAGAAAGUUGCAUUUUCGGCCUGUAUAAUAUUAUUACUAGGAAUCUGAGUAAUCUUUUGUAAUAGUUUAUAGGCACUUCUAACUGAAAAUAUGCCUAAUGGUUUUCCACCCCAAACUUGGAAAUCAUCAUGUACAGACCUUGCCAAAGGGAUUAGCAGAAUGUUCUUUGCAAUACCCGCAUCAAAGGUAUUAAAAAUUAGAUCCGCUUUCCUUGUUCUACUUUCAGCCUCAAUCAAAUCAGAGACUAACUCAAUAUAUGCAUUUCCUCUUUGAUGCUAUAAUGUAUUUUCUUCAUAACUCAGUAUCCAAAGAUCAUCCCAGAUGGAGAUACGAUCCCCCUUACCGAUUCUCCAGCACAAGCCUUUUUCCAGCACUCCUAUAGCUGACCAGAUACUUCUCCAGGUAAGUGAAGGUAGGUUCCCUAAUCGCGCAUCUAAAAAAUCUGUCGACGGAUAAUACUUGGCUUUUAAAACUUGAGCUAACAACGAAUCUGGAUAAGUAAUUAAACACCAACCCUGCUUAGCUAGUAACGCGAUAUUAAAUUUGUCAAAUUCUCGGAAUCCAAUACCUCCUUCUUCCUUGAAAGAACAUAAAUCCUUCCAUGCAAACUAAUGAAUUCCUUUCUUAUCCCUGCUUUUUUACCAUUAGAAAUUUAAUAUUAAUCUCUCCAAAUCCGUACAAAAGGACUUAGGAAGUAGAAAGCAUGACGUAGAAUAAGUUGGAAUGGAUUGAAAAGCUGCCUUAAUAAAAACCUCCUUUCCUCCGUAGGAAAGAUGUUUAACACUCCAAUUAUCUAUUCUCUGUUGCAAUCUAUCUUUCAAGUUUUGGAAAGACGCUUUCUUCCUCUUUCCCACUAAAUUAGGUAAACCCAAGUACCAUUCAAGAUCAGUUGAGCAAUGUACUCCAAGCACUCUAGUUACUAAACUUAUAUCCCUUUCUUGAGUAUUGGCACUGAAGAAAAUAGUAGAUUUUGAAUAAUUAACCUUCUGCCCUGAAAAACCUUCAUAUUCGUGUAAAAUCUUCUUUAAUGAAACUGCCCCUCUUUCUGUAGCCUCGCCAAACAGAAUGUAAUCACCCGUAAAUAAUAAAUGUGAGACCUGUGGACCGCUUCUGCUCGCCUUAACUCCAAGAAGAAUUUUCUUUUUCAUUGUUGAUCUCAUAAAACUAGAUAGGCCCUCCCCACAAAAUAGAAAUAAAAAUGGACUCGAGGGAUCUCCUUGUCUAAGGCCCCUAGAAGGAUUGAAAGUGGAACCAGUAAAUCCAUUAAACAUUACUGAGUAGGAAACUGUAGUAACACAUCUCAUUAGCGAAUCAUCCUAAUCGGGGUCAAAUCCUAUUUUCUUUAUUACCCUUUCUACAAAACUCCAUUUGACCCUGUCAUACGCCUUGUUCAUUUCCAAUUUUACUGCCAUAAAGCCUUUCUUCCCAACUCUUUUGUGCUUCAGAGUAUGUAGAAGUUCAUAAGCUAGAAUCACAUUAUCAAAAAUCAAUCUCCCUUACAUGAAAGCACUUUGUGCUGAAUCAAUACACUUGUCUAUCACAGAUCAGAGAUGAUUAGCAAUAACUUUAGCUAUCAAUUUGUAUAAUACAUUACACAAACUAGUAGGACGAAAUUGCGUAAUAUUAGAGGGAUUCACAAUUUUUGGGAUUAGCACAAUAUUUUUCUUGUUAAUUGAGCUUGGAUCUGUACCUUCAUUUAAUAAAUUGAGGCAAUAAGACGUAACAUCUUUUCCAAUAAUUAACCAGCAUUUUUGGUAGAAUAGUGCUGGAAAACCAUCCUCACCUGGUGCUUUUGUUGGUCCCAUUUCUUUCAAUGCUUCAUAAAUCUCUUCAUUUGUAUAUUCAGCCUUGAGUUUUAAAUUGUCCUCCUAAAAAAUGCAACGACCAAUACUUGACAAAGGGUGAUUAGAAAUUCCUCUCCUUCUAGCUAGAAACAACUGCUGAAAAUACGAUCUGGCUAUCUCCUCCAUUUCUUCAAUAACUUCAGUGUCCCUGCUGUCGUCAUAUUGUAACUGUAACAGCCUGAUUUUGGGCCUAGGACCACUAUUCUGAGGCCAGAUAAAAUUAUUUUAGUAUUAUUUUAUGUGUUAUAAUAUGAUUUUAUAAGUGCGUGUUAAUUUUGGUAUAUUAAUUUUAGCGAUUUCUAGUCCAAUUUCGAAAAAGGACUAAAUCGCGUAAAAAGUAAAAGUUGUGUUUUAAUACCUAAAGGUGUUAAAUUGCCUUGUAUCUUAAAUUGGGGGUCUUUAAAGUGAAAUUAGGCCAUUGAAAGUGUGAUGGCCGGCCAUGGGAGACAAAAUAGUUGAAAAGUCAAAAUUAGACAAAAUAAUUUUAUUAUUAACAAAUAAAAAAAAGAAAAAGAAAAAAGCUAUCAUUUUUCUCUUACCCUUCACCGAAAUAUGCAGCAAAGAAAGGGUUUUGAAGCUGGAAAAUUUCAGCAACAUAUUUCCCUUGCUUGUAAGUGAUUUUAAUGUCUUUGCUUGAUGAUUUUUGUAUUUUUGGAACCCCUAAAGCAUAAGCUUUCAUAAGAGGGGAUUAUUUUGCAAAAUGAUGAAGAGUCUAAGGUUUUACCAUGAGAGUAAAUGUGUUGUUUGAUGUGUUUUUAUGGAAGAUUAUGAGUCCUAGUUGCCUAAUAAACAACUUUUGUGAAAGAAAUUGCAUGAAAAUACCUUAAAAAGGGGUAAAUUGCUAAGUUGUAAAAUGAGUUGUAAAUGGGUAAAAUAGUUGAAAUUAUGAGUUGCUAUAGUUAUGAAAAUGGUUCAUCUAGACUCAAGGAGUAACGGAAUGUGAAAAAAAUUAAUUUACGAGCAUUGCGACAAAAGUGAAAAUAUGCAAAAGUUUAAGGGUCAAAAUGAAAAUUUGUAAAAAUAUGAUUUUUAGACCCAUAUGAAUAUUGUGACUGAUUGGUAGGCUAAAUGUGAUGUUAUAGAUGAUGAAAAUUGAGAUUUGGACCUAGAACGGAAAGAAAUCGAUUUAUGGACUAGUAUGUCUUUUCACCUUUGUGGUAUCGAGGUAAGUUCAUGUGUAAAUAAUGUAGCAUAAUUGUUAUUUUUAAGUUAUUGAUGUUAAACAUAUGAUAUGCUGAUUUUUAUCAUGAAAUAUAUGCUUUGUGGUUAUUUUCGAAUAAAAUGCAAGUUGUGUGUAUUAUCUGUUAAAUAUAAAGUGCUACCGAGUAUUGGUUUCGGUAUUUUACGGAAGAUGGCAAGGAUAUGUGUUCGAGGAAAAUCCUGUUUGAACCUUAGGAAUAGAUUAGGAUACAAGUGACAUGUCAUUAGGAUGGUUGAGCAUCCGAACUCGUUGAGUUGAGUCCGAGUUCACUUAUGGAUGCGAAUGUUCGAACUCGUUGAGUUGAGUCUGAGUUCGUGAGAUGUAACUAGGCAUCCGAGCUCGUUGAGUUGAGUCCGAGUUCACUUAUGGAUGCGAACGCCCGAACUCGUUGAGUUGAGUCCGAGUUCACUUAUGGGCGGGUUACAUGGUAGCUUGGCUACUUAUGUGGCACUUAUGUGCAAACUUUCCAUGUAUCCGAAUUAUAUUCCGAUGUGUUCAACGGGUAAAAUUCUACUCAAAUGGAGGAAUACUCGAGAUGAAAGGGACGUAUUGGUAAAUGUUGUGAAAUGGAUACUUUGAACAGGUAUGUACUUAACCCUCGGGUUGAAAACUCGACAUAACAACAAUAUGGUAAGAUGGUAAAUGAAAAUGUGAUAUGAAUGUCUCGGUGAUGAUUAUACAAACGAUGUUGUAUUAAUUUUGUGAACAAUGAUCAUGAAUGAGUAAUUUAGCCUUGAUAGAUUUGAGUUACUGCAGUAGUGUAACUUUGAAAAUACACUAAAAAUAGUGGAAAAUGAGUUAUAGGUAGAAUAAAAUAUGGGAUUAAAUCUCAACGAGUCUAUUUUCACAUGAAAGAAACAGGGGAAGAAAAAGAAUUCCAUAUUGUGUGAUAUUUGAAUUCUUGUGAAAUAGGGUCUGAAUGAAUUCGAGAUCCCCUAUUCUAACUUUAUAAAUUCACCAAAAAUUGUACAAAAAUUAUUAAGAGUUAUACCUUACAUACAUAGAUUCCUUAUUGAGUCUAUUUUUAUGGGAAAUAAACGUCAUGGUCGUUGGAAUUUUGUACAAGGAGAAAUUCAGUUUGUAGUACAAAGGGGUCAGAGUGGUCAUACCCUGAAACAUGGGAGACUUUAACUAAUAAACUGUAUUAUUUGGCUUAACCAAAAAUUCUGGAACUUUUAUGGAAGAAAGGAAAAUAAGUCUGGUUUCAGGGAAAAUUAAGGGAUCUUAAUUCGGAGUUUCGUAGCUUCAGAUAUAAAUAAUUUAGUGACUAUUGCUCAGGAAGACAGCUUAUAGUGAACUUGAGAAUAUGUUGUAAACAUUGAUAAAACAAGUUAAUGAGUUGCUUAUUGUUUUCAUAUGAACUUACUAAGCGAAAGCUUAGCCCCCUUCUUUCCCAUGUUUUUUAGAGUUUCCAGGUUAGCUCGGGUUGGAGGCCGUCAGAGAUAUUAUCACCCUAUCGAGUUAACGUUAUCGGAGUAAGUAAACUCAAGUGAUUCGAGUCUAUGACAUGUAUAGGGUUUUAAUGUGAGUAUGUAAUAUUAUGAUUUAGCCAAAGGCAUUGGCUUGUUAUUAAGGUAGUAUUAGUUAUGUAAAUUGGCCUAUGUUCGCUAAUAUCGUUAUGGGCCCAUAUGAUUAUUCUUAUGCAUUUAUGUUAUUAUUUCUUGUGAUGUGGCUUACAACAUGUAUGCCUAGAGAUUGAAUUGAGAUUCAUUGAUGAGCUAGUAACUAAUGCAGGAUUAAGUGAUUGGUAAAUAGUUAAUAAUGCUUCAUGAAUGGUUUGUGAUGUAAUGAUAGUUAUGUCUAGUAUGUGGUAAUGAUAUGGGCAAAUUCUAUAAUAUUUAUUGCAUAAGAAAAUAACUUGAGCAUAACAUGUUUGUAGAUGUUUAAGAGCUCAUUUAUGUCACGUUAUAUGUUAUUGGAUAAGUAUGUAUCUAUGCAUAUGGUGUGAGAGUGAUAAAAGGCUUAAUAAUUAGCCUAUUUCUGGCCACACGGCUUGAGCACAUGGGCGUGUGAAGCCUUAACACAAGAGAUUUUUUUUAAGUUUUUUCAUGAGUUCUCAAUUGGGUCCCGAACCACUCCAGAUGUAUGUUUUGGGCCUCGUAAGCCCGUAUAUGGGACAGAUUGUAUGUGAAAAGAAAAGUUUUUAACUAUUUGAGAUUUCAUGGCCCUGUUUAGUAUGAAAGUGUUAGUAAAAGUCAGGUAGCACCUCGAACCCCGUCCCGGCGUCGGAUGCGGGUGAGGGGUGUUACAUUUAGUGGUAUCAGAGCAUGGUUUAGUCGGUUCUCGGGCUAACCUAGCGUAAGAGAGUCUAGCUAUACAUGUCAUAGUAUUACUCGUGAUAGUGUGAUAUCUCUCGGCCCUAACAAAACUGUUGAUUAAGACAGGAAUGAGUUCCAACCGAGCAAAUCUUGAUAGAUAUAAGAGUAAAGUUGAGAUUAUUGAAUCAUGCUUAUGAUAUGCUGAAAAUUGGGAAAGGUAUGAAAAGAAAUCCAUGAUUUUUUUUAUGUGAACUAGUUUUCAUUAUGUGAUACUCUUAAGAUAAAGAAUGUGAAAUAGUGGAGUAAAACACAGUUAAGUUGUGAAAAAACGCUUUUAUGCAUGUUAGUAUUCAUACGAUGUUAAAUGUCCAACUUGAUUUGGCCAAGUGUUUAGGAAAAGAAAGAAAUUUGCUUGAAAUGACAGAAUGUAUGUAUGAAUGCUUUUAUUGCAUGAUUAAUAAUCAGUAUAUACAUGAGGUUGACAUUUAUGUCUAGAUUGAUGAAGUCAAGAUGCAGUAAUGUUAUGCUUUAUAAUCUCAGUUACAGAAUCAUAAAUGUCACAAUAGCAUGAAAGUUGUAAUGAAAGAUCAAAUUGGGUGGAACGCAGGGAAUGAGUACGAUCGUUCACUAAUGAAUUGACGGAAAAGACCAUGGUUGGACCAUGGCAAUACAUGAGAUUUGUGUGCCAGUGUAAGACCAUGUAUGGGACAUGGCAUCGGCAUUGAGACGAGGGCUAGUGUAAGACAUGUCUGGGACAUGCAUCAGCCACAGUAUGAGAGCCAGUGUAAGACAUGUUUGGGACAUGCAUCUGCCUCGAGAUGUUAGCCAAUGUCAGACAUGUCUGGGACAUGCGUCAGCAUGGUUACAAGUGUCAGUGUAAGACCUGUCUGGGACACGGCAUCGAUACAGAUGGAUGAGAGCUAGUACAAGACCAUAGUUGAACUAUGGCAUCAAGUAAACGAUGUACUCAAAAUCAUAAGACGUUCUCCAAUUUGAUAAAUAUUGGCAAGUGAUUAAGACUAAAUAUGGGAAUUUGAUAAAACAUUAAGGGUAAUUUGAAAAAAAAAGAAAUGAAAGUUUGAGUUAUGAUAAAUUCACUUAUGUUUAGCUAAUAUUCGCACGAAAUAAAGUUGCAUGUAUUACUGAGAUAUGUGAAAAUGUGUUCAUAACAAGUUGGAAAUUUGAAAUGUUUGAAUCAAUAUGCGUAAAGUUAUAUUGUUGUUGAAUAUUUAUUUGCUUGAGAGUCAAAAGUUUAGAGGCUUUACAAUCUUCGCCCCCUUACCAGAAUAGAGUUAUACGAUGAGAUUCUCGAGAGAUAUGUUGCAUAAGCUUGCAAAAGUGAAACUAAAAAGUAUAAUAAUGGAAUAGUAUGGGAUUAGUGAAGACAGAAUUAGUUAGAGGAAUAAUGUCGGACUUGCACUGAUGUUUGAGUAUAUCGGAUUCAAUCAAAUAAAAGUGAUGGCUAUCUUUCUCUUCCGAGUAUUCUAUGUUUUCCUCAAUUCUGGGGAACACGUAUGGUUAUCCCUUUUGAAUGGAAAUUCUAUCAUACGAGGAUGCUAGUGACUGUGAUAUUAGAUGAAAAGCUCUAUUGGUCCAGUUAGUUAUAAUUGACAUUUUCCCCAUCUCUUCAGAUUUCUAUUCUGAUAUAUUGGAAUGAAGUUGAUAGUAAAAAAAAAAAUCUAUGUGAGAUUAUUCUGAUGUUCUAUUGAUUAUGGUUUAUAUAUGCGAGAAUUAUAUUAUCUCUAUUAUGAGAAAUUCUAAAACAUACAGACAGUAGUUUCCUUCUGGUUUUCUCUGAGGGAUUUUUCGGAUCAUAUUUAUUAUUUUCUUCUGGAUUAUAUUCUCGGAUUUUUGGUGUAGUCUUUAUAUCUUCGAAUUUCUUAUAUUGGCUUUUCUCUCGUUCUUGUUUCGAGAAUUAUCAAUCUUGGUUUAUCUUUACGAGUAAUAUUUGACUUGCGAUAUUAGAAUCUGUUAUGAUUAAGCUUCUGGCUCGACCAUAGAAGUGUGGGGAUUUUAGUGUCGAGAUUUCUUUAAAACUUCUGGGGUAAAGAAUGGUUAUUUUGCAAAAAGUAAAUCUGAGUUAUGUGCAUUUAAGUUUAUUCUCUAGUUCGAGAAUACCGUUACGUGUUCUUUGGUAAGUAGUCGUACAGUCAGAAAUGAUGGGGUUUUAUUCUUGAAAGUAUGUUAUGGAAACAUAUUAAUUGGAUUUCUCUUUUUCUAGAGAUGUUAUAAGUAUAGUUAUCCUGAUUAAUAAAAAGACCACAUCUAUGAAGUUGGAAUCAUUUGAUUCAUGUUAGUAAAGUUUCUAAACAGUUGAUGAUCAGAGUAUAGAAAUGUGGCUAUAAGUGGUAAAUUAAACAAGUACAACAUGAUUCGACUUUUAAUUUGGAAUUGCAGGGAGGAUUUGAUUUCUGGUUUCUAUUACUAUUAAUUCAGAGUAAGAUUUCAGUACUGAGAAACUCUGGGUAUACAGAGAAUUGAGUACAGAGUUCACAGCAGUAUCUUGUUUAUUCGUUCAAAGGAUGUCGAAUUGUCUAUAGGGUAAAGCUGAAUAUCAAAUGUAUUCGAGAUUAUUAUUGUUAGUGAUGACAGUGGGAAGAAAAUGAGAAAGGACUGUUAUGAAUUUCGUAUCGGGAUGUCUCUCAUUUCCAGGAAAAAGGAGAGAUGCAAGUUGAAUUGUGAAAGAUUGAUGAUGGAAGUCUGCAUGAUUAUUUUAGUAUGUACAGAUAUAUUAUUCAACAGAUGUGACUGAGUUGUAUGUUUUUGAGUUUAUAGCUCCAAGAAUGUCAGUCUCCAGUGUUUCAAAUUGAGCUCCGAGGUUUAUACCUCAACUAUGGAAAAGCUAUAGGAAAUCUUGAGUAUGAGCUUGUGCGGAGUUGUUUUGUAAGUUGUGAGAAAACGAUAUAAGUGACUCGUGAAAGUAGAGAACAACUUUUUCUGGUAAGAUUUUCAGGGACAAAAAUCCCUAAAGGGGGGAAGAAAUGUAACAGGCUGAUUUUGGGCCUAGUCGGAACAGUGGUUUCGAGACCACUAUUCCGAGGCUAGAGAAAAUUAUUUUAUUAUUAUUUUAUGUGUUAUAAUAUGAUUUUAUAAGUGCAUGUUAAUUUUGGUAUAUUAAUUUUAGCGAUUUCUAGUCCAAUUUCGAAAAAGGACUAAAUCGCGUAAAAAGUAAAAGUUGUGUUUUAAUACCUGAAGGUGUUAAAUUGCCUUGUAUCUUAAAUUGGGGGUCUUUAAAGUGAAAUUAGGCCAUUGAAAGUGUGAUGGCCGGCCAUGGGAGACAAAAUAGUUGAAAAGUCAAAAUUAGACAAAAUAGUUUUAUUAUUAACAAAUAAAAAAAAAAGAAAAAGCUAUCAUUUUUCUCUUCCCCUUCACCGAAAUAUGCAGAAAAGAAAGGGUUUUGAAGUUGGAAAAUUUCAGCAACAUAUUUCCCUUGCUUGUAAGUGAUUUUAAUGUCUUUACUUGAUGAUUUUUGUAUUUUUGGAACCCCUAAAGCAUAAGCUUUCAUAAGAGGGGAUUAUUUUGCAAAAUGAUGAAGAGUCUAAGGUUUUACCAUGAGAGUAAAUGUGUUGUUUGCUGUGUUUUUAUGGAAUAUUAUGAGUCCUAGUUGUUUAAUAAACAACUUUUGUGAAAGAAAUUGCAUGAAAAUACCUUAAAAAGGGGUAAAUUGCUAAAUUGUAAAAUGAGAUGUAAAUGUGUAAAAUAGUUGAAAUAAUGAGUUGCUAUAGUUAUGAAAAUGGUUCAUCUAGACUCAAGGAGUAAAGGAAUGUGAUAAAAAUUAAUUUACGAGCAUUGGGGCAAAAGUGAAAAUAUGCAAAAGUUUAGGGGUCAAAAUGAAAAUUUGUAAAAAUAUGAUUUUUAGACCCAUAUGAAUAUUGUGACUGAUUGGUAGGCUAAAUGUGAUGUUAUAGAUGAUGAAAAUUGAGAUUUGGACCUAGAAUGGAAAGAAAUCGAUUUAUGGACAAGUAUGUCUUUUCACCUUUGUGGUAUCGAGGUAAGUUCAUGUGUAAAUAAUGUAGCAUAAUUGUUAUUUUUAAGUUAUUGAUGUUAAAUAUAUGAUAUGCUGAUUUUUAUCAUGAAAUAUAUGCUUUGUGGUUAUUUUCGAAUAAAAUGCAAGUUAUGUGUAUUAUCUGUUAAAUAUAAAGUGCUACCGAGUAUUGGUUUCGGUAUUUUAUGGAAGAUGGCAAGGAUAUGUGUUCGAGGAAAAUCCCGUUUGAACCUUAGGAAUAGAUUAGGAUACAAGUGACAUGUUGUGACAGCCCAAAAUUGACCCUAGUCGGGAAGUGGUUUCGGGACCGCUAAACCGAGUCACCGAAAUGUUUGAAUGUGAUAUUUAUUGUCUAGAAUAUGUAAUUAUGAAUGUGUGAAAAUUUCAAGCUUCGAAUUAGUCGAUUGCAUGUGAAUUUAGUCAAUAGGACUUAUGUGAGAAAAUUCUAAAAUGUGAUAGGUCAAUGCGUAAGGACCUAUUAGUGCAUGUGGAAAAAGGGGGGACUUGCAUGUCAAAUUCUCCCCCCUAUUAGUAGUGGCCGGCCAUGACAAGCAUGGUAGACCAAGUGUGAUGGGCAAGACAUGUCAUAGACAUGUCUUGUUGGUGCAUCAUGGGUGGAAAAAAAAUAAAAUAAUGAGCAUGGAAAUUAAAUAAUGAAAGGGAAUAUGAUGAAAAUAAAAAAAGUGUGUGGUUGUUUCUCCCCUCCCCCAUUUUGCCGAAACUAGAAAGAAAAACAAAGAAAAAAAAAAGUGCUCAUCCUUUGGUUCAUCCUUGGCCAAAAGUUUUAAGGAGGAAGGAAGAAGAAAGGUUGAAGAGGUUCGACCAUGCAUGUAGCUAGGCUAAGGUAUGUUUGAUGAUGUUCCAUGAGAUGCAUGCAUGUUUUAGUUGUUAGCUUGAGUCUACCUAGCCCAUGGUCUAAAUCUUGUUAUGUGAUGGAAAUGACACUCGGCCAUGGAUGCAUCAUUCUUGGUUGCAGUUUGAUGUUGUGGUGAUGAGGCAUGAAGAUGAGUUAAGAUUCGGCCUAGGUGGAUUUUGUGUUAAUGCCAUUGCAUGCUAAAUAUGAAGCUUGUUAAUGAUGCAUGUGAUGGUGGAUUGAUGAUUCUUGACUCUCCUUUUUAGCAUUUUUGAGUGAGCACAUAUGUGCAUUGGUUGCUAGAUGGGGAAGAAUCGGCUAGCAAGUUGUGUGCUAAGGCCGAAUAUAACUUUUGUAUGUUAAUGAGCAAUGCAUGUGUUAAAUUGAUGGAAAGGGAGAGGAUGCUUUACUAGUGUAUAUAUGUGCGUAUUAGCCAAGUUUUGAACUUGAAACAAAAGGGUGUUUAGUCAAUACAAGUGACCAUACUUGUAGAAUGUAUUAAGUGUUGAAAUCGGCCCCAAAAUGGACAUGCAUAUUCGGCCAAGGGGGAAAAUUGGCUAAUGUUGAGUUUGAUUCAUGAUUCCGUACAUAUGUGACUUUAAUGUCUAAUGUAUAAAUAUGGGCUAAGUACCUUGUGUUCCUCUUUUCGAUGCUCAAAUGAUUAAAUCAAUUUAUUUGUUUAAUUAAGCUCAAGAGCAAAGGGGAAAUAAAUCUGAUAAAGGGAAGGAAAAAGUGGUCGAAUAGCUAUCGGAAUCGUUCGACAACACCCGAGGUAAGUUCUUGAGUAAGAGAGCUUAAAUUAAGAUUUGAUUAGAUCAUGUUUUAAGCAAAUCAAAAUCAUGCUCUUUGUGUGUGGCUAUUGAGCCGAAAUUGCAAGAAUGAUAAGUGUCUUGUGUUUGAGUUUUGCUAACGAAAAUGAAAUACGAAUGUGCCAUGAUUUAUGGUUAAAUGUGCAUGGUUAUUUGAAUGAUGUCCGGGCUAAGUCCCGAAGGCUUUGUGCUAAGUGACCAUAUCCGGACUAAGAUCCGAAGGCAUUUGUACGAGAUACUAAUUCUGGGCUAAGUCCCGAAGGCAUUUGUGCGAGUUACUAAAUCCGGGUUAAGUCCCGAAGGCAUUUGUGCGAAUUACUAUAACCGGGCUAUGUCCCGAAGGUAUUUGAACGAGGAGCUAUAUCCGGUUAAAUUCUGAAGGUACGUGAUUUGGGAAUGAAUGAUCUUGCUGUAAAAAAAUUUCAGUUAAUGCUCUAGAAACAUCCCAACAUUGAGGUAUGUUUCGUAUGUGCUUGAAUUUAGUUGAGCCCUUACAAAUAAGUAUUCGCUCAGUUGAUAAACGAGCUACCGGCCUUUGGCUAAGUUGAUCUUUUGUGUAUGUACAUAAGGGUUGGAAAUGUGAAGCAAGUAUGAUAUCGAAAAUUUGUGCAUAUGAAAUUAUCCGUUUAGCUAUAUGAAUGCUAUACUUUGUUGUGCUGGAAUUCCUUGCUCAAAACUUACUAAGCAUAAAUUGCUUACUCCGUUUCAUUGCUCCUCUGUUUUAUAGAUUUGGUUCUCCAGCUAUCGGACUCGGGAUCUUGAAGUCAAAGUCGCCCACACUAUCAAAGCCCUUUUUUGGUACAAUUUUGGUUGAACUUCGAAAUGGCAUGUAUAGGACUACCCGUUUGUUGUGGGUCGUGGACCCUUUGGACUUGUAUAAUUUUGGAUAGCCAUGCGAAAAUGGCUUAUAUGUGUUUGAGUAUAAUGUUAUAAUCAUUCGGUGUGGAUAUGCUUGACAAGGAUUAGCCAUGGGAAUGGUUAAUCACUAUCAUAAAUUGUGCUAUUUAUGCAAAAAGGGCUAGUUGAAUCAUGGAAACCAUGAAAUAGGUAAAGUCUACCUUAAAGGCAGAUGCUGACAGCAGCAGUGAUGUAGAUUUGGAAAAUCACUAAAAAUAGUAGGAAUGGAAUUAAAUAGUGAAUAAAUUAUGUAAACAAACCUUGAUGAAUCUACUUUCAUAGGAAAGUAACGAAACAAUCAUACGGAUAGUAUGUUAAGAGAUAUUCAGGUUCUCGUGAGACAGGGCCAGAACGGUUUCUGGAUUUCCUGUUCCGAAUUUUGAAAUUCAUUAUAAAUUAACCAGAGAUAAUUAGGAGUCAUACCAUAUAUUUAUAGAUUCCUCUCUGAGUCUAGUUUCUAUAGAAACAAACGGCAUCAGUAUUGGAUCCCUGUACAAGGAGAUAUCCAAGUCGUAAUGCGCAAAGGUCAGGGUAGUCGAUCCCUGUAAUAUGGGAGAUUUUGAAUAAUAAACUGUAGUAAUUGGCCCGAGAAAAAAUUCUAGAAAAAAAUAUGUAGAUGGGAAUAUGAGUCUAGUUUCAGGGAAAAAUCAUGAAACUGAUUUUCGAGUUGUGAAACUCAAGAUAUGAUUUUUAAAACGACUAGUACGCAGAUUGGCAGUGUCUGGGAAAUAUUUUUUAUAAGGGGUUUAAAGUCUGUUAACACCUCGUGUUCGACUCCGGUGUCGGUCUCGGGUUCGGGGUGUUACACAUGUCACUAGGAUGGUUGAGCAUCCGAACUCGUUGAGUUGAGUCCGAGUUCACUUAUGGUUGCGAAUGUUCGAACUCGUUGAGUUGAGUCUGAGUUCGCGAGAUGUAACUAGGCAUCCGAGCUCGUUGAGUUGAGUCCGAGUUCACUUAUGGAUGCGAACGCCCGAGCUCGUUGAGUUGAGUCCGAGUUCACUUAUGGGCGGGUUACAUGGUAGCUUGGCUACUUAUGUGGCACUUAUGUGCAAACUUUCCAUGUAUCCGAAUUAUAUUCCGAUGUGUUCAACGGGUAAAAUUCUACUCAAAUGGAGGAAUACUCGAGAUGAAAGGGACGUAUUGGUAAAUGUUGUGAAAUGGAUACUUUGAACAGGUAUGUACUUAACCCUCGGGUUGAAAACUCGACAUAACAACAAUAUGGUAAGAUGGUAAAAGAAAAUGUGAUAUGAAUGUCUCGGUGAUGAUUAUACAAACGAUGUUGUAUUAAUUUUGUGAACAAUGAUCAUGAAUGAGUAAUUUAGCCUUGAUAGAUUUGAGUUACUGCAGUAGUGUAACUUUGAAAAUACACUAAAAAUAGUGGAAAUGAGUUAGAGGUAGAAUAAAAUAUGGGAUUAAAUCUCAACGAGUCUAUUUUCACAUGAAAGAAAUAGGGGAAGGAAAAUAAUUCCAUAUUGUGUGAUAUUUGAAUUCUUGUGAAAUAGGGUCUGAAUGAAUUCGAGAUCCCCUGUUCUAACUUUAGAAAUUCACCAACAAUUGUACAAAAAUUAUUAAGAGUUAUACCUUACAUGAAUAGAUUUAUUAUUGAGUCUAUUUUUAUGGGAAAUAAACAUCAUGGUCGUUGGGAUUUUGUACAGGGAGAAAUUCGGUUUGUAGUGCACAGGGGUCAGAGUGGUCAUACCCUAAAACAGGGCAUACUUUAACUAAUAAACUGUACUAUUUGGCUUAACAAAAAAUUCUGGAAAUUUUAUGGAAGAAAUGAAAAUAAGUCCAUUUUGAGGGAAAAUUAAGGGAACUUAAUUUGGAGUUUCAUAGCUCCAGAUAUAAAUAAUUUAGUGACUGGUGCUCAGGAAGACAGCUUGUAGUGAACUUGAGAAUAUGUUGUAAACAUUGAUAAAACAAGUUAAUGAGUUGCUUAUUGUUUUCAUAUGAACUUAUUAAGCGAAAGCUUACCCCCCUUCUUUCCCAUUUUUUUUAGAGUUUCCAGGUUAGCUCGGGUUGGAGGCCGUCAGAGAUAUUAUCACCCUAUCGAGUUAACGUUAUCGGAGUAAGUAAACUCAAGUGAUUCGAGUUUAUGGCAUGUAUAGGGUUUUAAUGUGAGUAUGUAAUAUUAUGAUUUAGCUAAAGGCAUUGGCUUGUUGUUAAGGUAGUAUUAGUUAUGUAAAUUGGCCUAUGUCGGCUAAUAUCGUUAUGGGCCCAUAUGAUUAUUCUUAUGCAUUUAUGUUAUUAUUUCUUGUGAUGUGGCUUACAACAUGUAUGCCUAGAGAUUGAAUUGAGAUUCAUUGAUGAGCUAGUAACUAAUGCAGGAUUAAGUGAUUGGCAAAUAGUUAAUAAUGCUUCAUGAAUGGUUUGUGAUGUAAUGAUAGUUAUGUCUAGUAUGUGGUAAUGAUAUGGGCAAAUUCUAUAAUAUUUAUUGCAUAAGAAAAUAACUUGAGCAUAACAUGUUUGUAGAUGUUUAAGAGCUCAUUUAUGUCACGUUGUAUGUUAUUGGAUAAGUAUGUAUCUAUGCAUAUGGUGUGAGAGUGAUAAAAGGCUUAAUAAUUAGCCUAUUUCUGGCCACACGGCCUGAGUACAUGGGCGUGUGAAGCCUUAACGCAAGAGAUUUU